GUGCACCAGGCGCGAAAACUUUACAAUGCGAGCAAUCGUGAUAAGGAAACCCUGAGUGCCUGUCAAUGCAGGCUGUUCUGGUGUCUAACACACACCAGGAGAAAGGGCGGGGCAAGACCGGUGCCAGCCGCCGCGGUAAUACCGGCUGCUCGAGUGAUAGCCACUUUUACUGGGCUUAAAGCGUUCGUAGCUUGGUCGUUAAGUCUCUGGGGAAAUCUUUUGGCUCAACCAAAAGGCGUCUCAGGGAAACUGACGAUCUUGGAACCGGGAGAGGUAAGACGUACUUCGGGGGUAGGAGUGAAAUCUUGUAAUCCCCGAGGGACGACCGAUGGCGAAGGCAUCUUACCAGAACGGCUUCGACAGUGAGGGACGAAAGCUGGGGGAGCAAACCGGAUUAGAUACCCGUGUAGUCC
rnacentral:rRNA from 1 species